rnacentral:tRNA from 5 species
AGCAUGUUGGCUUAAUGGUAAAGCAUUAUAUUACGGCUAUAAUCAUAGGAGUUCAAGUCUCUUACAUGUUU